rnacentral:rRNA from 1 species
CCCUUAGAUGUCCUGGGCCGCACGCGCGUUACACUGAUGCAUUCAACGAGCUUAUAACCUUGGCCGAGAGGCCUGGGCAAUCUUGUUAACGUGCAUCGUGAUAGGGAUAGAUUAUUGAAAUUAUUAAUCUUGAACGAGGAAUUCCUAGUAAACGCAGAUCAUCAAUCUGCAUUGAUUACGUCCCUGCCCUUUGUACACACCGCCCGUCGCACCUAUCGAUUGGAUGGUCCGGUGAAGCCUCGGGAUUGUGGUUCUUGCCGCUUUAUUGUGGCGUGACCGCGAGAACUUGUCUAAACCUUAUCAUCUAGAGGAAGGUGAAGUCGUAACA